GGAGAGGGCGGAGGAGAGGCGACUGGCUGAUGAGAGGAUGCAGCAAGCAGUGCAGCAGGCGGUGUUGGCACAAACUAGUCAAUGCUUUGCAAUGUUUGCGGCUUAUUGUACCCAGAAUGGUAUGCCCGCUAUGCAGAUGCCUCAAUCAGGCCAUGGAUCUAAUGCUGAUGGAUCUUCACAUGCACGAGGCCCAAGCGACAACAACCUUGGUGGUUCUCCGAAUGUUUGAGAUCGAGUAUGGUUGCCACCUGGAUGCUCUUUGGACUACGACAUGGACAUGAAGGCGUUUGUUGUAGUGCCAAAUCUUACGUAGUGAUGCCAUCUUUGUUCAUUGUGUAUUAUAUGCUGUGGAACUUUGUUUUGGG